ACAACAUUUGGAUUGUCGGUCUAUCGAGCAUUUUCUCCAGUUCAGUGGAUGAUCUUCCUGUUGUUUU
rnacentral:pre_miRNA from 1 species